UCCCUCUACUUCAAGCGUUAUUCGGAUUCACUGGGCGUAAAGCGUGCGCAGGCGGCUUUGCAAGACAGAUGUGAAAUCCCCGGGCUUAACCUGGGAACUGCAUUUGUGACUGCAUGGCUGGAGUGCGGCAGAGGGGGAUGGAAUUCCGCGUGUAGCAGUGAAAUGCGUAGAUAUGCGGAGGAACACCGAUGGCGAAGGCAAUCCCCUGGGCCUGCACUGACGCUCAUGCACGAAAGCGUGGGGAGCAAACAGG
rnacentral:rRNA from 1 species